UAGAGACCUGGCUGAAGGACAUGCAGCUGGAAGGAACCUGUGUCUCUGGUGAUCUCCUAUUCACCGAAAGUCUGGGAAAUGCCUACUUCAGACUUGCUGCAUGUGAGACCCAGAUUCCUUUUCCAGCUGUCAUCAAUGACUGAAAAGAAAAUCCUCAUUAGUAAGGUCCAGGUUUGAAUUAAAACACCUCCUUAGACUUUGGAAAAGAAAUCAUGGCCAUUACAAUAUAACUCAGGAGAGAAGAAAAUACGAACUCCAUUAAGAACCAAGGCCCAUAGCUCAACAGAAAGUCUUCUGAGAACACUGCCUAUAUUCAGUGGAAAGUGGAAAAUCUGACAGCGCUGUAGUCAUCUCUCUCCAUAACAAUGAUUUUUCCUCCUCUUACUAAAAUAGUGCAAGGCUUGUUAUCACAGACACAUGUAUUACCAGCAAUGAGGAUAUAGUCGGAAAGGAUAGCGCCUUCGACAUCUUUAUUUUAUGAUUAACAUUAGGAGAAGAUGACUGGUAGUUCCCAGCACUUCCUGAGUUGCCAUGGAUACCUGUCAUCCACAUCCAGAGCCUGCAGGUUACAUUCAGGGACCUUGGCCAGAUCUUUGAUAAUGUCACCAAAACCCGAAGCUGCAGCGAUAUGGACACACGUCUUUCCACUCUCAUCAUCGUAGUUGAUAAUGGACGGGCCCUGUCGAUGGCUCAGAAUGAUGGAACACAGAAUUCUAUUUCCACUCUGCAAAAGAAGCCAGAGAAAACCCACCAUGAACAACCCUGUACAUGUUCCCGUCUAUACGGAGUUUUGUCUGCAGCUGGGCCUAAUGUCUUCCACGCCUAGUGAACUGACGAUGGACUUGCCAGGAAACAUCAGCUGGCGUCAGAGCUAGCCUGACAGGACAUACAAUCAGACCACGUUCUAAGCUCUCUACACCUGGGUCAGCCAUGCAACUGAGUUCUAACCAUUGGAAAAUGAACAGAAGGCACAAAGACUCCCUUGAAGCCUGGUCUAGAAAGCAUACCUUUCUCCACACCUGUUUUCUCUUCUCAUCUCACUGAGUGUGGAGGAGGACAGGGCUGUAGACGAGGAUGGGACCACACCACUGCGAAGCCCAAGACCCUAACUGAAGACAGAUCAUCAGAGAACAGAUCCACCUCACCAAUCAUCAUCAUCAUCAUCAUGAUGAGAACCAAAAUGUAUUGUCUUAUGCCCGAACAUCAAUAUUUUGUGUCACCAGAGCAGCUAGCGAACCCUGAUCUCUGCCAUUGUCCUCUAGAAGAAGAAAUAGCCCUAGUGAAGUGUUCAAGUCUAGUGAGAGCACAACUGAGCCCAAGGUCUAAGGACUGUGGAACACUGGGCUUCGGAUGCUAAAUCUCCUCAACCUGUGUCAUAUUUUAAAUCUCUAAUUCAUGGUGCAUUUGCAGGUUUCAAGUUUCAAGAGUCCUCUAAUAUUGAGCCUCUAGAGCUGGUCUUGGGGCUGUUUAAUAAAUUGAUUCCAUGUGAAAAGGAAUAUUGACCUAAAGACAUUGGGGCUUGUCUACUUGAUACAACUGCUGCAUUUUCUCAUGGAAUGCAGAGUCACUCUCCAAGUUUCUAUGGAUCUUCUUCAUUUUCAGUUGGGCCACUGGGAUUAAAAUUCCAAGCACAAGGAAACCGGAUUCUUUUUAUUUUAUUUCACAUUGAUCACUCCUUCUCUAAUGAGAUCCUGUUUCAAUCACUGGCUUCAUGAUAGCUGGGCUCUUGUCCGCCUGUCUAAAUCCUGAAAGUUCUGAGCAGUGUUGCGACCACUGCAGUUGCUAAGAGAAGGCUACUUAUUAAGUAAAUGAAUGACUUCUACCUG